ACGGCACUUAUCAAUCAAUCAAUCAAUCAAUCAAAUAGAAUCAAGUAUGAAAUGGAGAUGAAAGGCAUAAUAGGACAGAUUCUCCAUCCCUGACUUUAAAUCCCCAUACAGAAAAUUGUUAUUUUUUAUUUAUUUUUAGCUGAGGUUUGCAAAUACUGAAACAUCUUUGAUGAAUGUUUGUUCUUAGGGAAUAUGAUACAGGAUUCGUUGUGUUACCUGCUGUAGUUUGCUUUCACUAUGCUAUUUUGUUUUUCUCAAGUAAACAUUACUCUAAAGAUACAAAUAUCCAGGGCUCACUCUCUCCUCCCUUUUAUUUAAAGUGAAUGCAGUAAAGGAGGGCUAACUUUGGAACUUCUCAUCACUCAGAGAUACAAGGACUACCUGAGUGCUUGAACCACCCUUCCUUCCCAACCAAAGUCAGAGUGGAGUACACAAGUUGCCAAUGCCCACCACAGGCAAGAUUCCCACACUUUCUAGCCCAGGCUGAUCUGAGUGAAGAGAGGCUGAGGUGAGGAAUAAAUGAGCAGCUCCAGCUUGCAAGAUGCACAUUGGCUGAUCCUGGGAAAUGUUUUGAAAGCAGGAAGAACAGGCAGUUGCAGUGAUGGCAAGAGGCAGAAGGAGGAAGAUGUAGAAGUGCCCUUCCAGUUUCAGAUUCAGAAGGAUCUUCCAUGUGCUGCAGUAAUCAGUGAGUGACUUCCCCGUCGCAGUGUGGCUACAAGAGAGGAAGGAUGUUUGCAGACAACACUUCUAUUAUGAUGGAAUUUCAACAUUUAUGUAUUCAAUUGAUUGUAUUGGAUUACAAGGAGCCUGAAUCUUUCUGAUUACUAAGGUGAAUAAAGCACAUAGACUACACUGUA